rnacentral:antisense_RNA from 1 species
AGAAAAAAAAAAGUAUGCUGAGAUUGCUAAGAUCUACACCUAAUGAGGAGGUGACUAUCAUGAAGGUCUGGUGGUGAAGAUCUUGCAAGAAGGUGCCUUGUUUGAGAUCUUUCAAGGAAACACAGUACUCAAUAAAUGUGGUUUGGUGUACAGUUGAGCCUUGAGCAACAUGGAUUUGAACUGCAUGGGGCCACUUAAAUGUGCAUUUUCUUAUGACUCCGCUGCUCUUGAGACAGCAAGAUCAAGCCCCCUCCUCCUCAGCCAACUCAACGUGAAGACAAUGAAGAUCAAGGUCUUUAUGAUGAUCCACUUCCACUUAAUGAAUAAUAAAUAUAUUUUGUCGUUA